CCACACUGAGCUACUGCCAAAUUGCCAGGAGAGUUUUUCAGUGUUUGUUUGGGGGAUAGGGUAACAAUAGGAUGGCCUUUGGAGAUUGUGUCUGACACACCUGUGGGCAGAAGGUAGGCUUUAAGUAUCCACCAUCUCUUCCUUUUAGAGUUUGCCAUCUCCGUACCACCACCACCACCACACACAGCACCCUCAAGACUCCCUGUGAUCCUGGGAUGCACUCAACGAAGAGUGUGUGGCCCAGCAGUAUCACAAGUCCAGUAGAACCAACCAGAUUAUUUUUAUUUUCAGGAUUUGAUGGAAAUGCUACAAGAGAAGCAGGCUCUCCCCUUCUGAAAUGAUGAGUGAUAAUGACCAUACAGGUCAACUUUUCCACCACUUGGAGGGAGCCUGUCAAAGAACAAAGGCAACAGAGAAGAGAGCAGAGCUGAGGUUGGGUGAGAGGGAGAAAUUCCUGAGUGCUUGAAUCCCACAUGCCGGAAGCCGCACCACACUUGGACUUCUCAAUACAGGAGCCAGUGAGUUUAUUUUUUCCUGACCUGGUUGGAUUUGGGCAUUCUCAAGAGUUUGGGGGUUGGGUGGGGGGCAUUUAGGGGAGAGAGCAGAAUGCAGAAUUGAGAAGGGGAAGAAGAGAGCUGCCUUCCACUUUAAUGAGCAUCUCCUACUUUUCCUCUGGUGCUUCUCAGCACUAAGUCCCUUUUACAAUAUACUGCUUGCUCCAUCCCCAUAAUGGAGGACACUCACUGGUAGACAAAGGAAGAGGGAGAGUGGCUUUCUCCUGGACUUCUGGGACCCAAGAACAUGGUAAAUGUCCAUGCCGUCUGUCUUUCCGCCCACAGAAUGGAGGGGAAACAUGUUCUAGGACAGCAGUCAUCAAUCUUAUUUAAGACAUGAAUCAAUCAGAAAUUCCGGUAGAAUCUAGAGACCAGAGGUCACAAACCACCUGCCUAUCGGGACCAUAUUUGACUCACUCAGAGUGUUCUGGUUGGUAUGCCAGGAUUCUCUAAAGAAAAUGUGAACUAAAUUGAGAUUUCAUCUCCAAAGAGAACCAGAUUUCUGCUUUCUCUUAAUCAGCCAUAAGGUCUGUCAAUACUGGGUCCCAUUUCCUCAAGGCAGUGAUCAACUGAAGCAGAGGAGUGAGUGCCUGCCUUAGAAGGCAUGUGCCCUCCCGUUUGCCCAAUCCUCACCCGCCCCAAGGUCUCCCCAACACUGAGCAUUGCUUGCCUUUUGUCAUCACCCUUGCAUUACUGUUUCUUAUGGUGGAGAGAUAUUUAUUUGGACCCAAGUCUCUACCAGAAGUGACGAAAUAAAAGACAGACCCAGAAGGCUGAAUAUGUCAGAAUAAAAGGGAGAAGGCAUAUUUCUCUGUGGAAGAAAAUAAUAUUCCUCUGUGUUUAAGAGACUGGGUUCUCACACCUGAUGUAUUUCAUUCUUCUAUAUUCCCACCUAGCUCUGCAGGCAUUUAUUGGCAGGCUACACCUAAGACUUUCUCUGCAGAAAAAUGUUCUAGAUGCACAGAUUUGGGGGCUUGAUUGACAACCUGACACCUCACUCUAAAUCCGCAUGGGUCUGUUGACCUCAGGUGAGAACACUUGUUCUAAGGGAGUGGAAGGUCUUUAUUAAGAUAACCCUGAGAAAUAAAAGUCUGCCUUGAGCAUUGUAUGGGACUCUUUUUUGUUUGUUUGUUUGUUUUUAUUUUGAGACACUGUCUCU
rnacentral:lncRNA from 1 species